UACAGGGGGUGCAAACAUUGCUCGGAAUUAUUGGGCGUAAAGCGCGCGUAGGCGGUCUUGUAAGUCGGAUGUGAAAUCCCUCGGCUUAACCAAGGAAGUGCAUCCGAAACUGCAGAGCUUGAGUACUUAAGAGGAUCGCGGAAUUCCCGGUGUAGAGGUGAAAUUCGUAGAUAUCUGGAGGAACACCGGUGGCGAAGGCGGCGUCCUGGACCAGAACUGACGAUCAGGCUCGAAAGCGUGGGGAGCAAACAGG
rnacentral:rRNA from 1 species